rnacentral:lncRNA from 1 species
CUUCCACAGCUCAAUGAGGAACAGCUACUUGACUCUCUCAUGUACAUGAGUUUGAAGCACCUUCCUAUUUAUUCUCUGGCACUAUUAGGUGUGCUUAGGGGGAAAUGGUUGAAAGUGAAGCAUAAAGUCAAGAGUAGAAAAUACUGGAAAUGCUCAACAAGCUGUUUUACCUACAACACCUUACUACUACCUAAUAAAGUGUACUCCUUCUUGGUUUUGCUUUGCUUAGUUUUAAGAAAAUGGGUAACAAUAUUCCUCUGGAAUUUC